AUAUACAUGGUGUAGUGGUUUGAAUGUUGGAUUAUGACUCUGAAGAUCAGGGUUCGAUUCCCAACUCAAGCAUA